rnacentral:snRNA from 1 species
AACGACGGUGCAAAAUGAAGAGAU